rnacentral:rRNA from 1 species
GACGUAGGGCGCGAGCGUUGUCCGGAUUUAUUGGGCGUAAAGAGCUCGUAGGCGGCUUGUCGCGUCGACUGUGAAAACCCGCGGCUCAACCGCGGGCCUGCAGUCGAUACGGGCAGGCUAGAGUUCGGUAGGGGAGACUGGAAUUCCUGGUGUAGCGGUGAAAUGCGCAGAUAUCAGGAGGAACACCGGUGGCGAAGGCGGUGCUCUGGGCCGGUACUGACGCUGAGGAGCGAAAGCGUGGGUAGCAAACAGG